rnacentral:lncRNA from 1 species
CACAAAUGAGCCUUAACGACGCUCCCUGGGGUGGGGAGUGGAGGGUCUUUCCGGUCUGCCCCUGUGACCCGGAGCCGCGGCUUCAGCUCUGCCGCCUCAUUUCUCUCCCGUUCUGCCUGGAGGUUUGUCCUGCUGGCAGGAGGUCGGCUGCACGGAGCUGCCUCUCCGGUUGUGUCCUCAGGGCCUGGCUCGUCCCUUAACGCGUCUGAGGACGCCGAGGGAGCCCCUCACCCUUCUUCUCGUGCUGCUCAGUAACGUGCUGAAACGGAGAAUGGGAUUCAGCUUCCACUGACACGUGCAGUCAGGGUUGGUGCUGAGCACACACCAUUGGCAGCCUGACAGGGAGUCAUCUGCGGGAGAGGAGUGGCUGCAGAGGUUCAGCUUCCCCUUAAAUGAACAGAGGAUGGUCAUAUCUG